GGAGGGGCGGGGCGCACGCGGGGGACGCCGAGGAGAUGGUACAGUCCAGCCACCCGGCUUCCAACCCCCCUCCCGGCGGUUCAAGUUUCUGCGCCCGGAGGACGCGGCCUUGGCCAAUCCCUGGGCUACAGGGCGCUUUUAAAAUGCAGCUCCAGUUGAGCCCACCGCUGGGCAGAAAGAAGAUGGGACAGAAGUCAUUCUAACAACCAUGCCGUUGGGACCACCAUUUUGAUCACCGCUCUUAUCAGGGCCCUCUCAGCAUAGAGCCUGGGAACUCAGUAGCCCCGGGCAAGUCACAACCCUCUCUGAGCCUCUGGAUCUCACCUGGAGAUGGAAUCAUUUCAAAUGCACAAGAAGAGGCCGGCUGGAACCCUAAGGCACACCGUGAUGCAGAUGGGAUGCUGCUUUGCUGGGGAAAUUGCUGACAGGCCUGGGAAUACCCCAGAGUCCACAUGGAAUGAGCAUCUUGAGACUCUGAAAAACUAACAGAAGAGCUGCUCCCUCUCUCAAGAAAGGCUCAGCCCGGCUCAGACCCAACACCGGACACAGCUUUGCAGUGAAGAAUUGCCAUCUUAGCCCAUCCUGUGUGUCCAGAGCCCCUGCAAGCAAGUCAGGGUCCUAAUGAGGCAGCUGGUCAGGUUCUGUAAACAAGGCCAGUGGGUCAGCCCAGUGGUUCUUGGUCCUGGGUACUUGUUACAUAAAAACUGGUAAAAUGCAGAUGCUCAGACCCUACCUCACACGAGUUCAAUCAGAAUAUCUGGAAGGUAAGCCUGGUGGGCAGGGCUGUGAAGCACUGGGUUAGAUCAAGGUCUUGUUCAUUGGCAUCAAGCUGCACCAGAAGAAGACAUCCCCGUUUCUGGGGGGAGGGGCAUACCCUCCCCAAGUAUCUGGAUUUAGAGAUAGUUCUCUAAGAUUAUCCAAAUUCCCCCACAUAAUCCUCAAAUGUGCUGCCUAUGAUAGGAAAGGGGGCUAGGGAUCCUGGAGUCUGUGGUGUUCACUUAACACCCCUACUCUUUGUCCCAUAUCUAAGGGGAGAAAAUGGAGGGAAGGAAAGUGUUAAAGAUAUAAUAGCAAACAGUUAUCUGGAACUGCCGGAUAGAAAAGCCCAGCAUAGAAUUGGGGGGAAAAAAAUGGCCAUACUGGACAAUCCUUGUGAAAUUUCAGAACACCAAGAUUGAGGAGAUCCUAAGAGCAUCCAGAAAGAGAGAGAGAGAGAGGAGGCCACACACAGAAGAUAGGAUGCAUAAUAACACUGACAUUCUCAAGGCAACUCCAGGAGCUAGAAGACCAUGGAGCAAUGCCUUCAGUGUUCAGAAGGGAAAUACUCCAGUACCUAAGCCAUCAAGUGUGGGGGUAGGAUAAGAAAUUUUCAGAUUAAAAAAGAAAAGAAAAGGGGUGCUUGGGUGGCUCAGUUGGUUAGGUGUAUGCCUUCGGCGCAGGUCACGAUCCCAGGUCCUGGGAUUGAGCCCCAUGUCAGGUUCCCAGCUCAGCGGGGAGUGUGCUUCUCCCUCUCCCUCUGCCUUGCUCAUGCUCUCUCUCUCGCUCACUCACUCUCAAAUAAAUAAAAUCUUUAAAAAAGAGAAAAGACAAAAUUUCCCAGACAACCUUUCUCUAAAAUUAGGACUGAAACCAAGAAAUAAGAAGACUCGAAGACAUGAAAUGCAGGAAACAGGUAAUCCCCAAAGCAAUGGUGCAGGAGAAGUCGGAGGGUGAGGGUGUGGGAGCCAGGAGCAAUCAAUGCAGAGUGGGACAGGGAGAGAGGACUCCAGGAGGAGCUGGCCAAGCCAGGGAGCACAACUCAUGGGUUCCCCCCCAGGAGCUUGGCUUUCUUACAAGGAAUAUUAGAGCUCUGCCAGAGUUUGGCGGUUGUAUUAGUGAUAAGCACAAAAGCAAACCAAGCAAGUCAAACAAGAAGGCAAUUAUUAAUCCCCAGGGAAACCCAAAAGUCCAACAAGGAAGGAAAUUUAGUCAUAGGACAUAUGGUGGCUCCAUUGGCCAUAAUGUUUAUACACAUGGUAUAUUACAAAGACAAUAUUGGUUAAUCAAAAACUGUGAUAUCGCUGUCCUGGGAGGACAGGGGAGGGGACAGCAAGUGCCUACAUUGUCUAAACCCUCCUGGUCCGUAAGAGAAAGGCUGCGCUAACACCUAUACCAGAGAGCCAGCGAAGGGCAAGGUGUGUUGUUUGCAAAUAUGCAGAUAAGUCACGGAAGAAUCUAGUUGCCUCCGGAAAGCACAAAUCAGGGGUGGAGACAGGAGGCAGGGGACUAGGUUAUCUCAGUUUUUUCCUUUAAAGCCUUAUAAUUUUAUUUGAUUUUUGAAACUCUGUGCGUAUGUUUUUAAAUUAAUAAAAUAUUUAAAAAGCCCAGCAUCGGACUUCUCAUUAGAAACUCUGAAAGCUAGAAGACCCUGGAGCAAUCAGUUGCCUUAAAAGUCUGACGGAAAAGGAUUUUCUGCCUGGAUUCUAUGCCCAUGGAGAGAAUCAGCCAAGUAUGAGACUGGAAUAUAAACUUUUUUGGAAAUGCAAGGUCGCAAAAAAAUAAUAAAUAAAUAAAUAAAUAAAUAAAUAAAUAAAUAACUGCUGUGC